rnacentral:rRNA from 1 species
AAACUAACAAGGAUUCCCCUAGUAACGGCGAGUGAAGCGGGAAGAGCUCAAAUUUAAAAUCUGGCAGGCUACGCUUGUCCGAAUUGUAAUCUCGAGAAGUGUUUUCCGCGUUGGCCUUGUGUACAAGUCCCUUGGAACAGGGCGUCAUAGAGGGUGAGAAUCCCGUCCUUGACACAGACACCCAAUGCUUUGUGAUACACUCUCAAUGAGUCGAGUUGUUUGGGAAUGCAGCUCAAAAUGGGUGGUAAAUUCCAUCUAAAGCUAAAUACUGGCGAGAGACCGAUAGCGGAACAAGUACCGUGAGGGAAAGAUGAAAAGCACUUUGGAAAGAGAGUCAAACAGUACGUGAAAUUGUUGAAAGGGAAACGAUUGAAGUCAGUCGUGCCUGCCUAGUCUCAGCCUUUUGGUGUACUACUAGGUCGGCAGGUCAGCAUCAGUUUGGGAGGAUUAACAAGGGAGUUAGGAAUGUGGCAACCUCGGUUGUGUUAUAGCCUAGUUUCGCAUUGAUCUUGCUGGACUGAGGAACGCAGUGCGCCCGCAAGGGUUGGUCUUCGGACACAUUCGCAC